UUCUGGUUGGAUUCCCUUCCGCGAGGAUUACGUUUACGUUUCUUCCGGUUGCAGCGGUAAAAGUACAACCUCAGGGCAUCGGGUUCUUAGGAUCGCUAAAGAGCUAACUUCUGAGCUCUUGCUAUGUAUCAGUCACUGUGUUAAGUGCAACCCCCAUCAGGCCAGAGUGAAUUCUGGGCUUACUCAACCUAAAGAAUCUGUGCUGGAGCUUCUGGGACUACCAUGUGGAGAACACCUGCCGGAGACCCAAGCCAUUUCAAAGGAAGAUCAAGUUGAGCAAAAAUGAAAGAAAUCACACCUCUGCUGCCUUGUUCAAAUCCAAGACCCCAUCAGGUGACUGGCUCAGGAGCUGAAUGAACUUCUUGGUCACAGGUCAAGGAUUUAAUGUAGCAGUACACACAAUCUGUGGAUUUUCUAAUACAAAAACUACAGGAAAGGUGAGAACAAAGUCUAACGAGGCCAGAGACAUAAAGGACUGGCUAGCCAUCUCCGACCUACUUUCCUCUCUCCCAGAAGAAACAAUGAUCAUAUCAACGGAAAGGAAAACUAGCAGCAAUUCAUUGGGCUCAACCAAUUCUUAUGCUGCUUUAUGUUGAGCUAGAGAUUUAGACCGACACAGACAUUUGUGACUCUGGCACAGUUCGUCUACACCCACUUAGCCUCAGUCUCUGAAAUAAUGUCCGUUAAAGAAGGUUAAAAUUAAAUUUGAUUAUAGAACGGAACAAGGAGCUUAUAUUCCAAGUUGAAAAAUGAAACUGCACAUAUUUCAAGAGGCCUCCCCUUAGGUCAGUAUUUAGGCACUGGAGUGACUCUGUAAACCUUUCGCUGGGUGUCUGCAGACACUGUAUUUACUUUUUGGAUAGGCACAGAAAGAAAUGACAAAGAACAAAACAUGCCAAAGUUUCUCACACCUUGGCACCCUUCCAGCCGCAAGCUUUGAAAGUUGGGAGCCCACACCACAGAGAAUCAGAGAUGAAAGAAU